rnacentral:rRNA from 1 species
GAUGAACGCUGACAGCAUGCUUAACACAUGCAGUCAGGGAUCGUGGCGGACGGGGGAGUAAGGGGUAAAGAACUUGACCCAAAGCUAGGGAAAACAGUUGGAAACGAAUGGAAAUACCGAAUACUGUGAGAGAGCUUUGCGUGCGAUUAGCUAGUUGGAGAGGUAACGGAGCACCAAGGCGAUGAAGGGUAGCCGGCCUGAGAGGGUGAUCGGCCACAAGCGUACCGAGACACGGCCCUUACUCCUACGGGAGGCAGCAGUGGGGAAUAUUGGACAAUGGACCAAAGUCUGGUCCAGCAAUUCUGUGUGCACGAUGAAGUUUUCGGAAUGUAAAGUGCUUUCAGUUGGGAAGCGGUACCAACAGAAGAAGGGCCGGCUAAAUACGUGCCAGCAGCCGCGGUAAUAC